GAAGCAUAUCCUUUCUUCGAGAUGCUCUUCUCUAUUGUGGCCUUCUGAAGGCCGGGUGGUAGAAUGUCAUACAUCUGAAAACUAUGACAAUAUAUAAAUGCACGGUGUUCCUACUAGAUUUGCAACUGCUUUUACUAAGUAUGGCAAAAGUGGGAAGAGAGACUCAUACAAGCCUGUGUCUUCUCUCAUAGUCAAGACACAUUUUGCUGUUGUUUCAAGACACAAUCCAGAGAAAACCCUAAGCUCAGUGCCAGUAGGUAAUUUGCUUUUGUUCUGAGAACCUGAAUUUACAUAACUCUGCAGACACCUGAGUUUCCAUGGCACAUAAUUGUCAAUAAAAAACCCAGGUCACAUCUACUCACCACUGCAUAGUGGGAUGUACAAAUCAGACGUUUCUCUGGCUGUCACCAUCCCCUGCAGGAACUGGAGAUAAUACGUGUUCUCAGGGAUCACUAACAAGAGCUGGGAAAUUAUGCCUCUCUCAGGCUUGUAGUCUAACAUCUCACUCCUUGAGACAGAGGAGACUUAAACUCCUCUCACUGCACUCCCAGGUGUUCACUGCUCAGAAUGCUGAGUAGUAUGGAUCCAGUUUUCAUAACACCAGUAGUUUUCCUUAGGUGUUGUUCAGGAGCUAACCAUAAACCCCUGAUGUGGCAUGACGUCUUCCAGUAGGUGCCAGGUCACUUUAAAAGGCUUUUCUUGGCCUAAAGUCUUCAGAAUCCAGAUUUUUCCUUCCAUCAAGCAUUCUGUGGUGAAGAGGGGAAUAAAGGCAUUAUGGUCUCCAGUUCUAGCACUUCUAGAGGUAGUUCUCUGUUCCAGCUUGAAACACUAGGGACCUAGGCUGAAGAUUGUUUUGUUUUCUGCAGACUUACAGCAUAUCUCAGGGGUUGUUUAGGCAUCCAUGCAUUAACUUAAAUCUAAGGCUGUCAUAGCUGUGAUCUCAGUUGAUCAUGUCUCUGAUUCUUCAUCCAGCAUAUGGAGUACCCCUACAGCACAUCUAGGCACUAAAAAUCUUUUCCUGGUAUACUGGGUUUAUGUGGCCAGGUUUUCGUAGCAGGGGGGUUGUAGGGGUGGCUUCUCUGAGAAGCUGCUAGAGGCCUCCCCUGUAUCCAACAGAGUCCAAAGCCAGAUGGCUCCAAGAUGGACCCACCACUGGCCAAGGCUCAGCCCAUCAGUGAUGGUGGCAGUUCCUCUGUGAUAACAUAUUUAAGAAGGAGAAAACAGUCAGUGCACAGGAGCAAACUUCAGUGAAAGAGAGGAGUGAUAAUGUGAAAGCAACAACUCUGCAAACAAGGUCAGUGAAGAAGGAAGGGGAGGAGGUGCUGCAGGCACCAGAGCAGUUUCCCCUGCAGCCUGUGAUGUAACGCAUAGUGAAGCAGGCCCUGCUCCUGCAGCCAUGGAGGCCAUGGGGGAGCAGAGAUCCACCUGUAGCCCAUGGAGAACCUCACAUCAGAGAGGGUGGAUGCCUGAAGGAGGCUGCGACCCUGUGGGAAGCCCAUGCUGGAGCAGGUUUGUGGCUGUCAGGACUUGUGACCCCAUGGAAGGGACCCACACUGGACAGUUCAUGGAGGACUGUCUCCCAUGAAAGAGAUCCCAUGCUGUAGAAGAGGAAGUGUGAGGAGUCCUCCUCCUGAGGAGGAAGGUGUGGCAGAGACAACCUGUGAUGAAUUGCCUGCAAGGGGGAGGAGGUAGAGACCUGGGAAGAAGGGAGAGGUAGGAGGAAGGUGUUUUAAGAUUUAGGGUUUUUUUUUUCAUUACCUUUCCCUGUUUUGAUUAGUAAUAAGCUAAUUUCCUCAAGUUGAGUCGCUUGCCCAUGACAGCACUUGGUUAGUGAUCUCCCUGUCCUUAUCUCAACUCAUGAACUUUUCAUUAUAUUUUCCGUCCCCUGUCCAGAGGGUCAACUCACCACACUUGAGCCAUAAAAUUCUGUGAUUCUGUGAAAAUGUUUUACAUCAGAGGAUCCAUACAGAGGAAUCUUAAAAAAUCAAGGGAUCUGUAACUGUGUAACUUUUUGGCAAGUAUCGGAACACAGGCAUCCAUCUGUGACUAUUACCCAACAAAACAUUGAGCCAGCUGAUAUCCAGCAACCAGAGCUCUAGAUAUAGCUUUCCAGACAUACAUGUUGCCAGAAAUUCUACUGGCAGAAAAUCCCAAGUGAAAAAAAAAGUGCCAUGGAAACUAACUGGUUGAUGCUAAGAUAAAAAAACCAAAAUAACAUCAUCAAAACGCGCAAGUAUAUUCUACAAAGAGCAAGGAGAUGAGAGAAUCUCAGGGGUCUGUCUUUCCAACUCAAGGAAUGAGGAGAAGCUGUGCACAGCAGGUGUGUUUCCAUUUAGAAGUAAUAAAUGGAGACUUUGAAAAAGAAAAAAGGGAUGGAUGACUUUUCAUACCUUUCUCCAGUUCCUACCUGUAACAUUUUGUAGAUAAAUCACAACAGAAUCAAACAGGAGUGCAAAUAUGAACACUGUAGUGAUAGGCACCCUUAGAGAGAGCAAUAACCAAGGCAUUAAUGUAUCAAGGUGUGCAGAUUCCUAGUUCAGUGUGUCUUGCCUUGAAGGGGAAAUGACUAUCAGCAUGGUCAAACAGAGCUAGGUUUAAAUGCACUGACAAGUCAGCUCAGAACUUAGCCAGAUUCACAUGACAGGAGCCUGGCUGGACAAAAAAACAGGCCUAGAAGCUGCUUCCACUCCUGGAGAAGCCCAGUGGGAAGCAGGAUGGGGAAUCACCCUGUGCUGCCAGUGGCAGUCAGACUCAUGCAUAAAAACUCUCUGCAUGCAAUCCCAAAGCCCAACCCAAAUAUGCUGGCGGGCAAUGCUUAGCCUGUGUUCCCUGAGAUAAGCAUACACUGCUUUGCCAGACAACUCAUCUCAUAGAUAUGCUCUAUCUCACUGACAGAAAUCCUCCAUUGUAGUCUGGAUUCCUUGUAGGACAGUAAAUAUCCCAAUAAUAGGAACUGACAAGUGAAUACAGCAUAUGAGUUCUUGUAGGUUUAGACAAGUGCCUUUGACGUUUGCUCAUACUUGUCAUCUCCCGACUUUCAGUCUUCUGGCUUGUACAGUGUUUUGUCCCUAUAUUUCUUGACAUGUAGACUCUGAUUCAACUGUUACAGACAUCUGUCAAUUCAGCUGUUUUAUCUUUACAAGAGCAGGUGUUGUUACUCUCUAUUAGACAAUGAUUCGACUACAUGUGGAAGCAGCUAAAAUUCUGCCUCUUUAAUCUGUGCAGAGUUUGUGAAACAGUCCAAAGAACCUCGUGAAGCAAAGAUGCUUAGGGACAAAACGCUGGAGCUGUUUGUGUCAGUUUUUGUCAGGAUUGGAUCUUUUGUCCUUGAAGCAUCAUUUCUACACUUAAAAAAAUUUCUUUGUGUAUCUCUUAACAAGCAUCCUUUGAGGAAGGCUACUGAAAAUACAGACUUACUCCUCUAGGUUGCAGAAGUGUCUGAACAAAUACCAGUAUUCAGCAGAGAGAGGUUAAAGCCAGCACUGCCAAAUUCUUCAGUGGAGUGAGGAAAGCCUUUCUGUUGCAGUUCUGAAAAAAAACUGGACUUCCCCAUGUGUCAGUUUACUCCUCCUGGCUGAGAGACUAAAAAUGUUACAGUUGAAACUAUCCUGCUGUCAUCCAAAAUAAGGAAAAAACCCAACUUAACUGCUGAUGACUUGAUGAAUCAUGUAUUAUUGAGGACUGAAACUCAAAGCAACCCUGUUGUUGAUGGCAACAAGAACUGGUCUUAAAUGCAGAGGGAUACUUCUUAGCAUUAGCAAAAGCCUUCAGUUUUAACCCUCACCUUGAGUCCUGGGGACAUUGAAAUCUGACUCUCCUGAUAAGCAAUAUUUCUCAUUUAGAAGAUUAAGCCUCUAUAGAGACAAAGGAAAUGAAAAUAAUCUUGGGAAGAAUUAGCAAUGCUGAAUUAAUCAUAUAUUUGUAUUAGCAAUGAUUAAAGGUGUGUGCUGUACUUCUUUGCACUCGAACUUUUUGACUCAGUUUCACAGCCACAGUCAUGAUACUUGCCUCAGCUAUUGCCCGUUUGUGGUCACUAUGGUCAUUCCAGCUAUUCCUUCUGCCUGUUUCACCAUCAGUGGCUCCAUCACUAUGAUAUCCAGGAAUUUCUUCAUAUACAUAGACAUGUUGCUAGCUCAUAGGAGUGCUCAACCCUAACAUACUUGUUCCAAGAGGCUUACAGGGAAUUCAGAGAGCCCUGCUGCAAUGCUCUGCAGCUCCAGCUCAACGUUUUAAUUUUCCUCCAAAGCUGACUCCGUAUUAGCUCAUCACAAUGUCUGCAGAAGGUCUACAACUACAAAAGUCUUUGCCCUAUUUCUAUUCUGAUCUGAGUUCUAUUCUGCUUCUAUUUCAGCAUGAGCUUCCAGUAGUGAUGUAGAUGGUUCUGGACAGAAAGCUUAUGCAAUUAAAAUCACCGUCUAGCUGCUCUUCUCCCUGUACAAUGGUAUUUCAGAACCUUCUCCUAAGUGGAGCUUACAUUCUUUUUGUCUCUGUUUACAAACACCAGCUAGAAGUAAAAAGCCUUUACUCUUUUAAGGAAACCACAUUGAAAGUGUCUAAAAACUACUAGCUAACCAUUUUAUUGCUCUCUGUUGAGUCCUAGUGCUAUAUUUCCAAAUGCCUGUCAGAUAAUGACCAAUGUCAUCAGGUAAUACCGAUGUAUUAAAUCCAGUUCUUUCAGUAUAUGAUGUUACUUGGUGAGGGCCCAUGAACAACAAGUAUGUCAAAUUGCAAAUUGCAAGUAAGUCAAAUUGCUCCCCAAAACUAAGCUGUCCUGCUGGGUUACCAAGCACUGCUAUUGAUGAAAGCCUUUAAAGAAAUGACACUUUUAUCUUAGGCAAAAACUAUUUAUCAGUCAACUAAGGAUCUGUCAGUAGUUGCAGUCCAGAUGAGCAGCCAUGUUGAUCACUUUUCAUGGCACGUACUAUCAAAUUUCAGUAUGUAUAAACACCAAAUGAUUUUCUGAGGCAGAAUGUAAGUCCCUUAGGAGCUUUACAGUCAAUGACUUAAUUCUGCAUAAAGAAUGCAACAGGUGCAAAUAGUUGGCACAAGGAAUGUCUGAAUAUUUCUAAAGACUGUUCAAUAGUCUUGGAAAAUGGCAUGAAAUGGAAUGGUUCUUACAAAACAAGCUGUCUGUUUCCAGAAUAAAUAUUGGUACACACAACAGAAGUAAAAAUGCUUUCAUAUUGCCCUGCAGAAAAGUCUGCCCUAUGUCUCUCCAAAAGACUGAUUCUUGCAGCAAAGAAAUAAGCUGCAGGAUUUUUUUAGUUCUUAACUCUGCCAACACUGAUACCAUUGCUCUGGUAAUUUCUCUCUUGUGUGGACCUAGGACUGAAACUGGAACCACUUCUGUCAUGCAAACUCUUCUAUAGCCAGAGAAUAGUGAUGUGACCACAGUGAAUUUGAUGUGAAUUUAAACUGUGUACUCUCUGGUUCUCUAGUGUGUGACACUUCUCACAGCAAUAAGCUGUUUAUCUGCUUAAACUAGGCUGAUUUAUUUUGUGUUUCUCUUACUGUCAACUUCUUUGCGGUUAAAUACACCAAAAAAUGCAGAAACAAAUAAGUGUAAUCUAAAAAGUUUGACUGAAAAAUACAUACAAGAUAUUUCUAGUUCAUGGACUAGCAAAUCCAUAUUGUUACCACAGCUAUUGUAUAAAAAUCUUGGGUUUGGUUUCUAACAGAAAUAUUGCAGAAAACCAGAAAGUCACACAGAGGUUAGUACAGUGCAAGAGUACAUCUACUAAAAAAAUAUCUCACAACCAAAAUGGUAGUCCAACCUGACCAGGUGUCUCUCUUAACCAAGUAUGGUUUCAUAUAUAUUGCUGGGUAAACUUAUGCAUUUGACACUAUGAAAAAGACUUGCUAAAAGUGUGCCUGAUUUGUAGUAAACUUUGGUCACAGUGCCAUUACCAGUCUGAAAUGAAUUCUACAUGGAGGUUGAAGGUGGGAACUAGGACCAGAGCAAAUGUCACCCCUCUACUAGUGGAUGCCUUCAGGUUUGUGUCUCCCAGAAGCACAGAAUAGCUUUAACAUGGAGCUCCUGAGGAAGUCAAAGACAAGCCCAAAGUAUGAGUUCAGGCCCCUUGCUACUCCCACACAAGAAUGUGAAGUGCCUGAGGAGCAGACAAGGGUUUUCCUGGGAGAGCUGGUGGGAUGGGAACCAGUGCCUCAUUGAGAUCUGUGUAUUACAGAAUCACAGAAUCCUAAGGGUUGGAAGGGACCUCCAGAGAUGAUCUAGUCCAAUCCCCCUUGCCAGAGCAGGACCACCUAGAGUAGGUCACACAGGAACUUGUCCAGAUGGGUUUUGAAUGUCCUCAGAGAAGGAAACUCUACAACCCAUCUGGGCAGCUUGUUCCUCCAUCACCUUCACAGUGAAGAAAUUCUUUCUUGUAUUUCUUUGGAACCUCUUGUGUUCCAGCUUGUACCCAUUGCCCCUUGUCCUAUCAUUGGACAUCACUGAGAACAGCCUGGCUUCAUCCUUCUGACACCCACCCUUUACAUAUUUGUAAACAUUAAUGUAGCCAUGUCAGAGCGUGUGUAGCUGAUUGACUCCAGUAAGUUGUGUUCCCCACUGGUCUUCCACAGCCACAGGUGUUGACUGGUCCCAAGCAGGGGUUGAACACCCUCCUAGGGAUCUAAAAAUGUUGCUGGCUAGCUGAUUAACCUUCAUGAUAAAAUGUAGUAUAAUUUAAGAUGUAUUUUUCUGGCUUCCAUGACAUCAGAACGCCUUCUGCUGUUGUAUAUAAUUAUAAAAAUGUCCCUCUGACUUCUUGCUGCUGAAAAUACACACAGGCUGUUUUGUUUUCAAAAAAACAACAUGUUCUCUCUCUCUUGUUUUUCUAUUUUUGGCAGGUUCUACCAUGAAAACUGUGGCAAUUACUACAGCCAAAAUCUUGAGUAAGACAAGCUUUCACCCUCUAGCAUGGAGCUUUAUAAAGCAUUAAAACUGAUGAAGCAUUAAACUUCUGCGAAAGUCAGAGCUCUCUCGAUCACAGAAGAAUGACGUUUCUUGGAAAGGAAGAUUACUUCCGAGAAUCCCAGUUUAUUUAUGUUUGUAUCCACCAAAGCUGUUGGAACUUUCCAAGUUACUUCAAUGGAAACUGAAGUGAGCCAAGGAAAAUCCCACCCGACAGUGAGGGAGGGCAUCAUUAAAGGAUAUUACUAAUUAGAGCAAGGCAAACAGGACGUAUUUUGAUGCUUGCCUUUUUUUCUCUCCUGAUUUGCUCCAGUGACUCUCCUCUAACGUUUAUGAAUGACACUGAUCUAAACCAGCUGAAAAUUAAGCUGUGGUCAAGCAGAUGGGGCUCGCCAAGCCUCACACACCCCCUGCCGUCCCGCUCACCUCGCUCCCAUCUUCCCCACGAAAUGCAUCAGCGGAGGCAGCCGCCGGCAGGGGCGAGGCAAAACCUCCCACCGAAAAGCCCCUGUCGUUUUUAUUCUUUGAAUCCAAAACAAGCCACGAUGCGCACCGAUGCUUCGUGAGGUGGAAUUCGCACUGCGCACACGCGCCUUGGCCGGGCCUCGGACCCGGCCGCAUUGCAAGGCCGAGGCUGCCAUCUCCCGGCUGCGCCUCGCCGGCCACCUGUCCAGUGGGCCUCGGCCUUGCUGCCUUCGCCGGGGAGGAAGAGUACCGAGAAAACGCUCGUUUGGAGCGCCAAGAGGAAACCCGUUUGAUCCUGCUCAAGCCCGUCGUUAAUUUCUAAAAACACUCCCAUUUACAUCCAGUAGCGGCACUCAGCUGACCCCCCCUCACUUGCGGGGGUGAGGGUGCCUUUAAAAUUAUGCAUCAGCUUAAUGUCUGAGACAAAAAUGCUUCAGGGGCUAGAGGCAAUAUUCUAAUGUGAUAAAUCAAUUCUAAAUAAAUGAGAUCAAAAUAAACAGGCUCUGGGAAUCACCCUUGUAAAA